CAGCUGCGCGUCGAGCACAUAGCGAAUUAUUCUUUCGCCUUUUACUAAAGAAUAACGUGUGCUCGUUGUAUUUCAAGCAGCAUAUGCCAUUUUUUUGGAGGGUGUUUUGUUUAUAAUAACU